UCCAGGAAGUUCCUGUCACACAAGGAGGGGCAGCAGCGCCCCUUUGCCCCAGGGGAGAGCUGCGUGGGACAUGUGCCCAGCUCAGCCCUGGGACCCAAAAUGGAGAAGAGAAAGGAGAAACUGAGGAUGGCAACCCCCCUCCGUGGGAACCCUGGGAAAGGCGGCACUGCAGGGCGUGGGCCGCUAGCAAGAACCGAUGGCCUUCCACCCCAGCAUUCGGUCUGCCCAGGCUUGCCUCAGUUUCCCCAUCUGGCCAGAAGCCCGAGAUGGCUACUUCCAGGGGGGUGUGGGCAGCAGAAAGAAGCGGACUAAGGCGACCAGAAGAGGAGGGGGAUUUGGGGAAGUCAGGGCCCUGUCCCUUUUCCGAGCCCCGGUCGCCAAGCCUCCCCUCCCCCGCCUGGCAUCUGAGCCGCCCAGAUAACGGGACCUCCCCGGGUGGAGCAUGCGCCGUGCGUCCUGGCCCAUCAGCCGGAGGGGAUCGGCAAGAAUUUUAGUCUGGUAACAACCAGCGGGGUGAGCACAGGCUGUGGGACAAAAUGUUACCCGGCAGAAAGAUUAUAUCCAACCGUGUUCACCCUGUGCGAUUCAUCUCUGCCAUCGACCCUGGAGAAGCCAUCGGAGGCGCGUGUGCAUGAGGAGCACCUGUCAAAGGUCCUCAUCUCACCGGUUGGUGAGUUCCAGCCCUGUGGACCG